rnacentral:lncRNA from 12 species
AUGGGUCUUCCAACUCUCCCACCCAUCAGCUCACCAGGGGGAAGAAGCCCCGCCUUUCCCUGUGUCUUGAGAACCUCUGGUGCUGCUCACUGCCCAGCAAGGGCAUCAAACUCCAGCAACCAUUGCCAUGAGCUUCACGGCCUCCACUUGAGCUUUGUCCAAAAGGCACUGCUUGAUGAGUCCUGGCCCCAGGGGCAGAAAACAAUCCCCACCGCCCGGAACCCUGACGGAGCUGCCGGAGCUGCCGAGCUGGAAAAGCCGGUUCUACGCACGAAAGGAUGGGGGAGGGCGCCCUUCCGAGGCCCCAGGGCCGCCGCCCGGAGCUCUUCCCCUGGGCAGGCGGCCCGGCCCUGCCCUCGGAGCUUCCUUCCCUGGGAGCCCGCCCCCGGCCAAGGCCACCUGAGCAACGACCACUGCAGGGGCUCGGCGCUCCCGGAUCCGCCGGGAGGGACAGUGGUGCAGGCGGGUGGGGAGAGGACAGGCCGGGGACCCUAACCCGAAGGGCCCUUAGGGCGCACUGUGACCGCCCAGGCCCGGGGCCGGGGCGGGCGGAACCCAGGGCAGCGGGAGCCUGGUCGCCCGCAGGGCCUCGGGGACGCCCCGGAGCCCAGGGAAGCCCGCGGGGCCCGCCCAGCACGCGCCCGGCUGCCGGGAGCGCGCCGCGUGUGCCCGCCCGCGUGUGCCCGCCCGCGUGUGCCCGCCCGGGCGUGCCCAGCUCGCCGCCCCGCCGCACUUCCCGGCUGUCUGUGCAUGUCUGUUUCUUUCACUAGAGGUUGCUCACUUUCACUUCUUGGUUCCUUUCGGCUUCUCCGCCGGCCCCGGGAGCGCGCGUGCGCGUGAGUGUGUGCCCGUGUGUGUGCGUGUGGCGUUCGCGUGUGUCCGCCCCGCUCCCAGCCAUCGCGCCGGGGCCGCGGGAAGGGCGCUCGGGUCCUGAACCCUGACGCGGGGCGCGACGCUGCCCAGCCCGGCCUCCCACCCCGGGAAGCUCUGGCCCCCCGGCCCGCCCCGCCUGCGCCUUCGCUCAGGACACCCCGGCUGGCACCCCAGGCCUCCCGGCUCCCGGAGGUGUGGGUCCUGGGCCGAGCAGACCGGAGACAAGGCCCGGGAGCAGGCAUUGCCCCGCAGGCCCCGCCUACCUCCUUGCUUUUUUGGGUCAUUAAAAAAACAACACUUCGCCCCUGAAGCCGCUGCUGCUCCUCCUGACUCCAGAGGCCUCUCUUCGGCACCCCCUCAGCUCACUUCCCAAAUAGGAAGCUGAGGCGGGGAUGGAUGGACCCUUGCUCCACUGAGCUGGAAGCCACAAGCUGUGGAGGCCCCAGCCUUUCGCUUGGGAAAGUAAGACUUGGCUGGGGCCGACAAGGACCUCUUCCACUUCCCCUCUGGCCUCCUUACGGUGCACCCUGUUCCUAGGCCCCAGCUCAGGGCCUUUGCACAGGCUCUGGACUCCUCCAGUGGGCCAGAGACUGCCAUUCCUCAAUAAGUUAGUGACCUCGGGCAAAUUACUUACCUUUUCUGAACCUCCAUUUUCUUGCCUGUACAAUGGGCUCAUAAUAGGAUAUUUGAGGGUUCAAGGUGAUGAUGAAUGUAGUGCAUGAAACUGGGCAUAUGUGGUGGGCCUGGGGCCCAUGUGAAGAUUGGACAGAAGGUUCUCCUGCCUAGGGUCUCUCCCCUCCCUCCUUCAAGGGGCCUCUUCACUCUCAUCUCCUCAGUCCCUCCCAAGGUCUCUUCAAGGCCUCACUGGCUAACCCUCAUCCCAAACAACUCCCUGUCCCACCCCUGCUGUGAGAACCUGCAGGAAGCAAUGGAAAGGGGACUAGGUCUGGAGCCAGGAGGACUGGUUCAAAUUCCAGCAGAUUCUGCCUCCCUGUGUUGAUUGUAAACAAGUGGCUUGGCCUCCCUGUGCCUAAGCUUCUUUCUCUGUGAAACUGAGGCAGAAGGCCGCCUGGCUUACAUCUCAGGGCUCUUGGAGGACAAAGCAGAUUGGGGGAGAGAUGUCAUUCGGAGCAGUGAAAGCCACAGAUGAAAGCAUGUUGCUGCGGUGAUUUAUACCCAUCCUCAGAGCCUUGACUCAGGCUUGAGGAAUCAACUUGUCAGCUGGAUCCGAGCGGUCCCUGCCACCUGCGCUAAUAGGAGGUGGCUGGAAGGCCACUUCCAACAAAUGUACAGCUUGAUGGCUCCUGCCACUCACAGCUGGCCUUACUCAUCACUUCCAACAGUGGGGGGACUAGAACACUGUGACAGCCCCCAAAGGGGGAAUUUUGGGGGGAAAAGCAUCAUCAUCUCCGCUGAUGGGUAAGGCCUUGGCCAUGGGCUGUGUGUGUGACCUUCCUCAGCCCGGUCACCUGGCCCCCACCUUGACUUUCCUUCAUCCUGGUUUCUCCCUCCUGUGCACCAGCCCCUGAAAGUCCUAACAUGGGGGCUCCACGGGGCCUCCCAUGCCCCAUGUCAAAACCACCAUCUCUCCGCCCCCCCAUCUCACUCCCUUGUUACUGACACUGUCUCCCACCCGAUUCUUCAAGCCACAAGCUCAGAGCCCACUCGUUUGCUCAAGCUGGAAAUACUAGCAUUGAUUUUGCUGCAAGCUUAUUGUGAAACAGCAGACAAUAUAAAACAUGGACAGUGGAGAAUAAAAAUUCCCUUACUAUUUGCA